rnacentral:rRNA from 1 species
UACGGGGGGGCAAGGCGUUGUUCGGAAUUACUGGGCGUAAAGGGCUCGUAGGUGGCCAACUAAGUCAGACGUGAAAUCCCUACGGGCUUAACCGGGGGAACUGCGUUCUAGAUACUGGAUGGCUUGAGGUUUGGGAGAGGGAGUAGCGGAAUUCCAGGUGUAGGCGGUAGAAAUGCGUAGAUAGUCAGGAGGAACACCAAUGGGCGAAGGCAGCUCGCUGGGACGUGACUGACGCUGGAGAACGCGAAAGCGUGGGGAGCAAACAGG